UAUAUUUAUAGUAUAAUACAAAAAUAAAGGUAUAAAAUAUUAUAAUUAUUAGUAUAAAAUAAUUUUUCAUAAUAAUUUCUCAUAAAAUAAUUUUUCGCGGUUCAGGAGCUCUCCUUCGUGGUCCACGCUCGAGGAGGACUUCAGCGUAGGCCGCGAGGUUGAUGAUUAAAAAAAAACAAUAGAUUGAUUUUGAAAGGUAUGGAAAAGAAAUAAAAUUUUUUUCUUCUAAAAUAUGGUUCAAGAGAUGCAUACAAAAAUUGAAAAGAAAAAUACCUUUUCUUACGGAAGGGAGUCUGACGGCUUGGGUUCUUGGCUCCAGCAGAUUUUUAGGUUUAUAUAGGGAUAAACUAUUUAAUUAUGUUAUUUUAAUAUGUACAUUUUUGUCAAAAAUACAGCUUUCCGAAAAAAGCUGAAACAGCUUCCUCCUAAAAAGCUCCAAAUUGGAGCUUUCUCCCAAAAGCUGUUUUCAGCUUUCCGCAAAAGCUGAAACAGCUUUUUGAAAAAUUUACCAAACACAGUUUUUCAUCUAAAAGUACUUUUGGAGGGCCAGAAAGUGCUUUCUGGCCCUCCAAAAGCUCCCCCAAACAGGGCCUAAGUAAUUCACAUCAGGUUU
rnacentral:lncRNA from 1 species